GGUCAUGAGUGCCAGCGUCAAGCCCCGGCUUGCUGGCCGGCAACCCUCCUCCGCGGUGGGGUGCCCCGGGUGAGGACCAGGCCCUGUCGCACCAGGCGACAAGGGCAAGCGCGGACC
rnacentral:ncRNA from 2 species